UCAUCCAAAUUUCAAGUCUCUCAAGCUCAUAUAUUUCCUCUCUCUCUCUCUCUCUCUCUCUCUCUCUCUCUCCCUCAAGAUGAAAUAGCCGCCGAAACAUUUCAUUUAGGGUUCUAAUUAGUAUUUUUCAUAUUUUUUCUUCCAAAGCAGCCACAAGAUCACCUUCUCUUAUCCAUGGUUUCAAGUAUAUUGAAGAUUUAUUCUAGGGGAAUGAAGUAGAGAGAGAUAUAGGUGUUGGCAACAAAGGUAUUGUCUCUCUCUUACAAAGAUUAAGGUUUGGAUACGAGGACGAAUCCUUCUCAAGAAGAGGAGAAUGAUGCAAUUCAUAUUGCCUCAAGGCCACUCACUUAUAGCCAAGUUUGGGAACUUCAAAGUAUUGAAGGAUUGUUCACAAGGAUAAAGGUUCUUGAGCUUGUAUUGAUGGCUAACAAAGGGUUUCAUGACUUGAAGAUCGCAUGGGGGAACAAAGGAGGACAAUUGACGACACUGCCACUUUUGGUAUGAAGGAGCCCGUCGGCGCAUUGCUCUGGAGUGGUCAUUCCCUUUCAUGUACCUCUAUGUUAUUUUGGUUAUGUUUUACUUAUAAAUAAUAUUCCAUAUGUAGCAUGUUCCUUUUCUAGGGGCACUACAUUUUAUGAUGUAGGUUCAAAUAUUAAGUGUGAUAGGACUCCACGAUAUGUUUUGUUAGAAAAAAUGAACAAGAAUGAUAAAAAUACAAGGAAUCCAAAAUAAAACUUGUUUGGCUUAACACGUUAA